UACAGAGGUGCGAGCGUUGUCCGGAAUCACUGGGCGUAAAGGGCGCGUAGGCGGCCUUGCUAAGUAGAGGGUGAAAAUCCCGUGCGGCUCGAACCGCAGGGCUGCCUUCUAAACUGUCAAGGCUGGAGCACGGUAGGAGGCAGAUGGAAUUCCCGGUGUAGCGGUGGAAUGCGUAGAGAUCGGGAAGAACACCAGUGGCGAAGGCGGUCUGCUGGGCCGUUGCUGACGCUGAGGCGCGACACGUGGGGAGCAAACAGG
rnacentral:rRNA from 1 species